UACGGAGGGUGCGAGCGUUGUUCGGAAUUACUGGGCGUAAAGCGCGUGCAGGCGGCCGACUAAGUCCGGUGUGAAAGCCCGGGGCUCACCCCCGGAAGUGCGCUGGAAACUGGUCGGCUAGAGUACGGGAGAGGGAAGCGGAAUUCCUGGUGUAGCGGUGAAAUGCGUAGAUAUCAGGAGGAACACCGGCGGCGAAGGCGGCUUCCUGGACCGAUACUGACGCUGAGACGCGAAAGCGUGGGGAGCAAACAGG
rnacentral:rRNA from 1 species